rfam:Scytonema millei VB511283 scaffold_234, whole genome shotgun sequence.
GUCAGAAACCCCACGCCUAAAGGCGGGGGCUUGAAAAAAGCCUUAAUCUGACCAGCUUAAGUACUUUGAGUACUACGUUAGAGACAAGAGUUUAAGACCUACCAAGGGAUGAGAGUGCUAGUUCCUUGCUCUAGAACCAAACGAUUAAACAGGCUUAAAGGGUUAAACCAGUGUCGUUUGGAUAGUUACCGACCUCUAACAUUAGCGAAGCUAACAUCAC